rnacentral:tRNA from 1 species
UUCCUGGUGGCUUAGAAAUUAAAGAAUCUGCCUGCAGUGCAGGAGACCCGGGUUUGAUCCCUGGGUCAGGAGA